UACUUCUAUAAUUGAGUGCAUAGUCGCAAAAGAUGAUGUCUGAAUGUUAUAGGAUUUUGCAAUUGUUACUGGUACUGUACAGUGUGUUUAUAUAUUAUUGUGCAAUUGUGAAUGGUACUGUGCAAUUUGUAUAUAUAUGAAUGUGAAUGUAUAAUUGUGCACAUUGUGAGUGGUCGUUCACAGAUAUUUCAUAUAUGAUUGUGAAUGUGCAAUUGUGAAUUUGUGACUGGUAAUCUUGUAUUCUGCUUAAUCAUAUUGUUGAUGUAUUUUGUGUAAUGUGAGUUGUUGAUAAGAGUCUAGUAAAUUUAUCCUAUUGAUGUAAUGUGUCAAUUUACCGUGAUGUCAUUUUCUCCGAUUUUAUCAUAGAUGAGAUGUUAUCCAAAUUAUAUUAUAUUUGCAAAAUAAUUUUAUGAGAGUUAUCGUAUCGGAGAUAGACAUUCAGAAAGUGCAAUGGCGCACCUGUUGAGAUUGAUGAUGUCCCUGCGCCGGUUGAGGAGGCGCAGGUAAGUAUUGAGUGUCGUCGCAACUACAAUAGCAACAAAAGGGUCAGAUUCACCUUCAGUUAGCGCUCAAGUCUAUUUUAAUCACUUAUUUGGAGGCCCGACGCGCGACGAGGUUAGUGCUGCCAUAUAGAAGUGGACAUAUGUAUCUAGCUGGCAUAUAGGGGAGUGGUUUAGCACUACCGAUUUUCUGGGGUGUGGUAUAACUGUUCCAUUUUAAGUUAUAACCGCACAACCCAAGGCUACCAUAUAGAAGUAGAUAGAUAGAAGUGGCAGGUAUAUGGGUGUACUUUUUAGCCCUACAGAUGUUCCGAGGAGUGGUAUAACUGUUCUAUUUUAAGCUAUAACAGCACAAGUAAAGGGUACCAUAUAGAAGUGGACAUAUAGAUGUGGCAGGUAUUUGAGUGUGCUCUUUAGCCCUACAGAUGUUUCGGGGUGCGGUAUAACUGUUCCAUUUUAAGCUGUAACCGCACAACCCAAGGCUACCAUAUAGAAGUAGAUAGAUAGAAGUGGCAGGUAUAUGGGUGUACUCUUUAACAGUACAGAUGUUUCGAGGAGUGGUAUAACUGUUCUAUUUUAAGCUAUAACAGCACAAAUAAAGGGUACCAUAUAGAAGUGGACAUAUAAAUGUGGCAGGUAUUUGAGUGUGCUCUUUGGCCCUACAAAUGUUCCAGGGUGUGGUAUAACUGCUCCAUUUUAAGCUAUAACCGCACAACCCAAGGCGACCAGAUAGAAGUAGAUAGAUAGAAGUGACAAGUAUAUGGGUGUACUCUUUAGCCCUACAGAUGUUCCGGGGUGUGGUAUAACUGUUCCAUUUUAAACUAUAACCGCACAACCCAAGGCUACCAUAUAGAAGUAGAUAGAUAAAAGUGGCAGGUAUAUCGGUGUACUCUUUAACACUACAGAUGUUCCGAUGAGUGGUAUAACUGUUCUAUUUUAAGCUAUAACAGCAGAAGUAAAGGGUACCAUAUAGAAGUGGAUAUAUAGAUGUGGCAGGUAUUUGAGUGUGCUCUUUAGCCCUACAGAUGUUUCGGAGUGUGGUAUAACUGUUCCAUUUUAAGCUGUAACAGCACAACCCAAGCCUACCAUAUAGAAGUAGAUAAAUAGAAGUGGCAGGUAUAUGGGUGUACUCUUUAACAGUACAGAUAUUCCGAGGAGUGGUAUAACUGUUCUAUUUUAAGCUAUAAGAGCACAAGUAAAGGGUACCAUAUAGAAGUGGACAUAUAAAUGUGGCAGGUAUUUGAGUGUGCUCUUUAGCCCUACAGAUGUUCCGGGGUGUGGUAUAACUGUUCCAUUUUAAGCUAUAACCGCACAACCCAAGGCGACCAGAUAGAAGUAGAUAGAUAGAAGUGACAGGUAUAUGGGUGUACUCUUUAGCCCUACAGAUGUUCUGAGAGUGGUAUAACUGUUCCAUUUUAAGCUAUAACCGCACAACCCAAGGCUACCAUAUAGAAGUAGAUAGAUAAAAGUAGCAGGUAUAUGGGUGUACUCUUUAACACUACAGAUGUUCCGAGGAGUGGUAUAACUGUUCUAUUUUAAGUUAUAACAGCACAAGUGAAGGGUACCAUAUAGAAGUUGAUAUAUAAAUGUGGCAGGUAUUUGGGUGUGCUCUUUAGCCCUACAGAUGUUUCGGGGUGUGGUAU
rnacentral:lncRNA from 1 species